GAUGAACGCUGGCGGCGUGCCUAAUACAUGCAAGUCGAGCGAACAGACGAGGAGCUUGCUCCUCUGACGUUAGCGGCGGACGGGUGAGUAACACGUGGAUAACCUACCUAUAAGACUGGGAUAACUUCGGGAAACCGGAGCUAAUACCGGAUAAUAUAUUGAACCGCAUGGUGCAAUAGUGAAAGACGGUUUUGCUGUCACUUAUAGAUGGAUCCGCGCCGCAUUAGCUAGUUGGUAAGGUAACGGCUUACCAAGGCAACGAUGCGUAGCCGACCUGAGAGGGGGAUCGGCCACACUGGAACUGAGACACGGUCCAGACUCCUACGGGAGGCAGCAGUAGGGAAUCUUCCGCAAUGGGCGAAAGCCUGACGGAGCAACGCCGCGUGAGUGAUGAAGGUCUUCGGAUCGUAAAACUCUGUUAUUAGGGAAGAACAAAUGUGUAAGUAACUAUGCACGUCUUGACGGUACCUAAUCAGAAAGCCACGGCUAACUACGUG
rnacentral:rRNA from 1 species